rnacentral:rRNA from 1 species
CACCUCUUGCCCAACUAUAAGAGGCCCCGCCUGCCCAGUGACUCCUUGUUCAACGGCCACGGUAUCCUAACCGCGCAAAGGUAGCGUAAUCACUUGUUUUCUAAAUAAAGACUAGUAUGAAAGGCAUCACGAGAUUUAAACUGUCUCCUUUCCCUAAUCAGUGAACCUAAUCUCCCCGUGAAGAAGCGGGGAUAACCCUAUAAGACGAGAAGACCCUGUGGAGCUUAAAACAUUCCUACACGUGCUACCAUAUUCUCCGCCAAGGCCACUACCUUACAGCACGCUGAUUAUAUGUUUUUGGUUGGGGUGACCACGGAGAACAAUAUAUCCUCCGCGAUGAAAGGGGUAUGCCCCUAAAUAAUAAGCCACAACUUAACCUAUCAAUAAAUUGACAUCCAUUGACCCAAUAUUUUGAUCAACGAACCAAGUUACCCCAGGGAUAACAGCGCAAUCCACUUUUAGAGCUCCUAUCAACAAGUGGGCUUACGACCUCGAUGUUGGAUCAGGGUAUCCCAGUGGUGCAACCGCUACUGAAGGUUCGUUUGUUCAACGAUUAAAACCCU